rnacentral:lncRNA from 1 species
GGAAUUUCUGGGCAUACUCAAACACUAUCAUAUCGCUUUGGACCAGGUGUGCAAAGUUCAUCUCCUUCAAAUGUCGAAGGUGUUCUGGGAGGUAGUCUAUAUUAAAAGUUGUCAGGAACUAUUCCUAGGUAAUUGGAAUGGGUAGAAUGACCUACUUCAGUUGUCACCAAUGACCUGCCUCACCCACGAGCAUGUAAAUAGUAAGUAUGACCUUCUAUUUGAUAACUACCACAAGAGUUGC